CAGCGUCAGUAGGAGCCUGGCAAUAGGGGCUUCUUCUAGAGAAAGGGACCAGUUCUGUUGAUGAAGGAGAAACUAUAAACAGAGGAUGGCAUACAGGUUCGACAUUUCAGGAGCACAGGGGUCCUCACAUAUUCUGAGUGUGAAGAUGGUGAACAGUCUGCUAAAUGGACACUUCCACCAGGUCCUGGCUGCCAGACUGAAGUUCCAAGAGGCUUUGAUCAUCAGCAUAAGACUGAAUUGAACUUUGAUCAGGUUCUAUCUAGGCUCUAACAAUAAAUCUUACCUUUAUUUCC